AGCCAUAUCACAUUGAAACACCGCUUCUCAUCCAAUCAUUGAAGUUAAGCAAUCUUGAACCUGGUCAGUACCUAGAUGUGAGACCUCUUGGAAAUACCAGGUGAUGUAA